rnacentral:rRNA from 1 species
GUGAGGAAUAUUGGUCAAUGGACGAGAGUCUGAACCAGCCAAGUCGCGUGAAGGAAGACGGUUCUAUGAAUUGUAAACUUCUUUUGUGCAGGAAUAAAGUGGGUUACGUGUAACCUUUUGUAUGUACUGUACGAAUAAGGAUCGGCUAACUCCGUGCCAGCAGCCGCGGUAAUACGGAGGAUCCGAGCGUUAUCCGGAUUUAUUGGGUUUAAAGGGUGAGUAGUGGGAUUGAUAAGUCAGCGGUGAAAGUUUGCAGCUUAACUGUAAAAUUGCCGUUGAAACUGUCGGUCUUGAGUGCAAAUGAGGUAGGCGGAAUGUGUUGUGUAGCGGUGAAAUGCUUAGAUAUAACGCAGAACUCCGAUUGCGAAGGCAGCUUACUGGGAUGCAACUGACACUGAUGCACGAAAGCGUGGGUAUCAAACAGGAUUAGAAACCCCGGUAGUCC